rnacentral:rRNA from 1 species
AGCCAGAACACAGUGCUGCAUGGCUGUCGUCAGCUCGUGUCGUGAGAUGUUGGGUUAAGUCCCGCAACGAGCGCAACCCUUGUCAUUAGUUGCCAUCAUUUAGUUGGGCACUCUAAUGAGACUGCCGGUGACAAACCGGAGGAAGGUGGGGAUGACGUCAAGUCCUCAUGGCCCUUAUGGGUAGGGCUUCACACGUCAUACAAUGGUCGGUACAGAGGGCUGCCAACCCGCAAGGGGGAGCCAAUCCUUUAAAACCGAUCGUAGUCCGGAUUGAGGUCUGCAACUCGACCUCAUGAAGUCGGAAUCGCUAGUAAUCGCGGAUCAGCAUGUCGCGGUGAAUACGUUCCCGGGUCUU